rnacentral:misc_RNA from 1 species
CAGCAACCCCCAGCCUUGGCGGCCUCACUGCGACCUCGCCAGUCGUACCAUCGACACCGAAACCGGCGGGACUUGGAGCCAGAAGCUCCGGAUUUUCGCGAGAAAUCGUGGUGAUGGUGAAAUCGGCGAACGAGUGCUUCAGAGGCUCGUAAGAAUUAUAGAUUCCUGUAGUUCGGAGACGAAGUAGUUUGGUGCUUUUAUGACAUAUACGCAACAAGUCGCGUUCCAAUUGUUUAUUAUUAUACGCAUGAGGCUUGGUUAGAAAGAGGAACUCAACGAAACUGUAAUGUUCGUUGAGUUAUGGGAUUGGGGAAAGGUGCCUACCAAAUAAGAAGAAGACGAUGAGUAGCUUGUAGAGCUUCUGGUCAUUCUUGGUGAGUGUACCAAAGGAAUUUGGUCAACGUCUUCAAAUUUAGUUAAACCGGCAGUCUGUUUUUGACAAUCCGGUAGACAAAGUUAAAUGAAAAAACUAUUGAAAUAAAGAACGUGUUUGUGCGGCGUGUUGUUUUGUGCCAGUGAGGUAUUCGACGGAGAAGAUAAAAUGUGAGGAACGAAAAAUGAGCGUCAAUUCGGAUUCUGCUUUCUUGAUUUCGUUUGUAACGAAAAUGUUGUUUGUUUCUGUCUCAUGUGAACCACGUGAAUAGUCAGUGAUUGUGAAUAAAGAUUGAAGCAGUUGAACGGGGGUGAAUGAAUUGAUUAUUAAUUAACGAUAUUCUAUAAUUGGGAAUAUAAAAAAGCGUGACAAAAAGAAACGAGGACCAUUAAAAACGACGAAAUUAGUUAUCGAUGUAUGUUUUAAAGGAUUCGUAAUGAAAUUAGUGUGUAAAUAAAAUUAAUGAGAAAGACAGGAUUAGGAGGCACGAAAAGUAAUUAGAUUAAAAAUGACAGAGAGAGAGAGAAAGAGAAAAAGAUGACAAUUAAAUGAAGGCAAUAUGUUGAGAUGAACUGUUCAAUGAUGAUUAUUUAUACAGAUAUGAUGUGAAAGGGAAAUAAAAGUAAGCGAGUCUCCGUGCAAAGAGAGAGAGAGAGAGAGAGAGAGAGAGAGAGAGAGAGAGAGAGAGAGAGAGCGAGAGAGACGGAUAGAAAGAAGGAGAAAAACGUAUAAGGGUAAUGAAACGCGAAUAUCUUCAUCCCUUCGACGAGAACGCACCGAGUAUAUAGUGGAUAUAUUGGCGGAUGGAUGGACGGAUGGAUGGAGUGGGAGGGGAGGGCCGCUGGAUCAUGCCACUCGACAAAGCCAAGGGGGACAUUGCGAGAUGCGGGAAGUCGAAGGGUGACGGGAACUUCACCAAACCUCCAGGCAACCGAUCAAACAUGAAGAACGUGCCAAACCAGAGAAAAGAGUCUCGAGUCUUCGUACCUCGACUCACCAGUUCAAAUUUUUAAUCCAGACAGUAUUUUCGCCCGGUUUACUUGAUGCUAAAGUUGGAUUGGAGAACGAUAAAGCGACGAUGAAGAGCAAACGGGAAGAAUACAGGUUUUGGGUAUAAUGCAGUACAAAUUGACGAGGAAACGAUGAUACGGCCAAAGCUUGAUCUAGUUAAAACCCACGCGAGAUUCGACGCUCGUCUCGUGGUAAAAUCGAGAAAGAAAAGGACGGUUCGUACCUUGGCUUGUGACUGAUCGCAGUUGGCUAGACCGGUGAGGAAAGAUGGAGUACAACGAAACGCUGGACUUUGAGGAAGAAUUCGAUUCGAUGAACGCUUCGACGGUUGUGACGACAAUCCUGAACGGAGAUUCUGGGCCGUACAAUGACUCGACGGGUGCGGUAAGGGAGAAUGAGGAUAUCGAGCACGUCCUGCUGCAGGUGAUUAAGGCCUCCAUAAUGGGUUUCAUAAUCCUCUGCGCCCUCUUCGGCAACCUGUUGGUCAUAGUGUCGGUGAUGCGGCACCGUAAACUACGCGUGAUAACGAACUACUUCGUGGUGUCGUUGGCGCUUGCCGACAUGCUGGUUGCCAUAUUCGCGAUGACGUUCAACGCGAGCGUCGAGCUUUCCGGGCGAUGGCUCUUCGGGUACUUCAUGUGCGACGUGUGGAACUCGCUCGACGUAUUCUUCAGCACCGUCUCGAUCCUCCACCUCUGCUGCAUCAGCGUAGACCGCUACUACGCCAUCGUUCAGCCCCUCGACUAUCCCCUGAUCAUGACCAACCUCAGACUCGGUACGAUGCUCAGCGUAGUUUGGUGCUCGCCGGCCGUCGUCAGCUUCGUGCCGAUAUUCGCCGGCUGGUACACGACACCCGAACACCUUCAGUACCGCUCCAAUUAUCCGGAUGUUUGCGUAUUUCACGUUAAUCAAUUCUACGCAGUCGUCAGCUCCAGCGUAAGUUUCUGGGUACCCGGCAUUAUCAUGAUCGCAAUGUACUACAAGAUCUAUCAGGAGGCGGAUCGUCAGGAACGAAUGCUUUACAGGAGUAAAGUUGCGGCCGCCCUGCUGAACAAGCACCUUCAAAUAAACGGGAUUUCAGCCGGACUGACCUCCCUGCCAACUGUUGGACAAUCAUCACCCGAACCUGCGCCGGAAGAUCCACCGAUAGCGAGUAGCAGCAAAAUGAAAAGGGAACGAAAGGCUGCGAGGACUCUCGGCAUUAUAAUGUCGGCAUUUUUGGCCUGCUGGCUUCCAUUUUUUCUUUGGUACGUGAUAACGGCCCUCUGCGACACAUGCCAAAGUGGCAAUAUUGUUGUGGCUGCGGUGUUCUGGGUCGGUUACUUCAACAGCGCCCUGAACCCGUUGAUCUACGCGUAUUUCAACCGCGAGUUCAGGGCAGCGUUCAGAAAAACGUUGGAGAGUUGCUGCUCGGCAUUCAGUCCCGUAAAAGAUAUCGGCAAUAGAAAUCGGAAGCAGGAUUUGGUUCACAGCAACGCGUCCUCCGAACUCCAUGUGAACAACCAAUUGAGAACAAGCGAACUCACCAACGUUCACAUUGAGGCUUGCAUAUAAUUAUAUUUACAAUAUAGGUAUGUAAAAAUCGGAAUACGUUAUUCAAUUUUAAUUUUACGAAUCCGUUUUCCUUUGUUCACUGCUCUUAUUCUGUAAUCUAAUCGACUUAUAUCGAUUUAUUUGUUAUAAAUUACACACAGCUAAUUUAACGCAAAAUAAAUUCGCUUGAAUUUAUGCAAUUCAGGGUGCAGUUCAACAGAUCCCGUGCCUGCAUUUCGGCAACUGAGAUUACACAUUACCGAUCGCUAUUUGCCUCGAUUCCGACACGAUUGGCGUACUCCUUACAAAUUUCUUCAAUCGUGGUCCAUGAGACAAAUGCCGAUCGAUGAUAUGUACCCUCAGUUAUCGAAGAGUAGGCGCACAUCACCAAGAUGUACCCUGAAUUACAUAAACGCAGGCGUAUCUGAAUCUGUCCGAGUGAUGACAAAAAAACGAAUACAUAGGUAUAGAAACAAAGGUAGGAGGUGAGAAGUAAAUAGAACCCAAUCAUCGAUAUUAUAAACAUCACUGGACUCUAUACUAAGUGGUGCCGAUUAGAAUCCCAAAAAAUCGACAGUCGCGCUGCAAUACCCAGAGUUAAACUAACGGGUCACGUGGGUGAUAGCCUAUCAGAAACAGAUUUAGUCACAUGGUACAGCGUGGGGAAAGUUUAAAUGCAUGCGCCCCGUGAACAAAAUUACGAUGUUGUUCUCUUUUUCAUCAUAUACUUACUUGAAGAAAUGCACUGACGAAUGUAUUUUUUCUAUUUUCUUACAAAACCAACAAAACUCCGUUUCUGCAGGAACGUUUAUAUGCUGUCAGUUCUUGUGAGCCACGUGAUACGUUAGGUCCAUUUAGGCUAUUGAAUCGGUGGUGUCGAUUUCGUCUGCUUCUAAUUGAUUCAGGCGGAGGAGAACGAUAGUCAGCCAUCCAGCAGUGAUAAACAUGCAGAAACGAAUUAAAUAAUCGGAAGGCGCAGUGUAAAAACGUCGCCUAGUCUGAAGUAUUAUCUCUGCCAAGGUAUUUGAAAUUGAACUGAAGAUAAUCGACCACAGUUUGUGCCGCAAUAAUUGAUAUUAAUAUACUAUAGUCAUUUGAACUCGCGCCAAUUAACAUGUAUAAUGUUACAUGUAUUUAUCAAAAAUCGAACCACGACUGCGCACAAUAUUAAUAUUAUUGAUAGUUAGCGAAGAGCUGAAUAUCCGAUUUCAUUAUAUUAUACCGGUGUGUGAGAAAAAAUAUCAUAUAAUUUACGAAAAAAGACAAAAAAAUUAAAAUUUCUCUGCAUCGCGUACGACGAUAUAGGUAUAAUGCAUACAUAUAUAAGAAUGUCGGUGCAUGCACAUAGAUGUAUACGUAAUAUUCAAAUACUCCGAAAAUGUGUUUUACAUAAUAAAAAUAUAUUAAUAAUAAUAAUAAUAAUAAU